GAUCAGGCAAGGCUACCCGCUGUAUUUAAGCAUAUUAAUAAGCGGAGGAAAAGAAACUAACNANGGAUCCCCUAG
rnacentral:rRNA from 1 species